CAGUAGCCGCGGUAAUACGUAGGGUGCAAGCGUUAAUCGGAAUUACUGGGCGUAAAGCGUGCGCAGGCGGUUCGCUAAGACAGAUGCGAAAUCCCCGGGCUUAGCCUGGGAACUGCAUUUGUGACUGGCGGGCUAGAGUAUGGCAGAGGGGGGUAGAAUUCCACGUGUAGCAGUGGAAUGCGUAGAGAUGUGGAGGAAUACCGAUGGCGAAGGCAGCCCCCUGGGCCAAUACUGACGCUCAUGCACGAAAGCGUGGGGAGCAAACAGGAUUAGAGACCCCAGUAGUCCCUGUCUCUUAUAA
rnacentral:rRNA from 1 species